AUCACCAUUCCGGGCGAGGUCUGGAGCAGCGGGGCCGUGUGCACGUGCGUAGUGGAAACAGAGAGCGGGCGCAAUAUGAGCAAAAGCGUGAGCAAGACCGAUGCAGAUUGCUUUCCUUCGGUCUGGCGGUAUGUCUUCAUCUCCGGUGUUCUCGUUGCGAUGUGGAUACACUUUGCUGUAGUUCACUGGAACUAUAACAAGCAAAGACGGCGUUUUCAAGAGGAAAGAUGAAGCAAUGGAAAUGCAUUUAACUAAACAAGUCAUUUUCUUUAUUUGAAUACAGCCUUGCUUCUGUCAUAUUGAACUUCAUUUCCAUUCUCAAAGUAUUACAAGAGUGCAUUAAAGGCAUUGAUGGUGCACCAGACCAUACAUUCAAUUGAGAUC